UACGGGGGGGCAAGCGUUGUUCGGAAUUACUGGGCGUAAAGGGCGCGUAGGCGGUUCGAUAAGUCAGCUGUGAAAACCAUGGGCUUAACUCAUGGCCUGCAGUUGAGACUGUCGGGCUGGAGUGUGGGAGAGGAGAGUGGAAUUCCUGGUGUAGCGGUGAAAUGCGUAGAUAUCAGGAGGAACACCGGUGGCGAAGGCGGCUCUCUGGACCACAACUGACGCUGAGGCGCGAAAGCUAGGGGAGCAAACAGG
rnacentral:rRNA from 1 species